CUCAUCCGCAUACGCAUUGGCUGACGCCAGCGGCGAAAGGGCCAAAAGGAGCGCCCGACAAAUCCGGCCGGGCGAGGAAAAGAAGCGCGUCGAUGAAAAGCCUGAAGGCUCAGGAAUGCGCAUGGCGCCAAGUAUGGCCGAUA
rnacentral:ncRNA from 23 species